rnacentral:misc_RNA from 1 species
GGCUGAUAGUAACGGUAGGGUGAAGAACAGUUGGCUGGGUUGUUACAAGAGGUUAUUUCACGAGGCUAGGUGAUGGGACAACACUUAACAAAGGCUUAAGAAGGGGGCUAAAACACCAAGGGACAAUAAAACAAAAAUUGUGAAAGAGGGAAGGUCAAUAAGACCAUUUUGCGAGAAAGCCCAACAGCAAAAAAAAAUGUGAGGC